AGCCACACUGGAACUGAGACACGGUCCAGACUCCUACGGGAGGCAGCAGUGGGGAAUAUUGCACAAUGGGCGCAAGCCUGAUGCAGCCAUGCCGCGUGUGUGAAGAAGGCCUUCGGGUUGUAAAGCACUUUCAGCGGGGAGGAAGGCGCUAAGGUUAAUAACCUUGGCGAUUGACGUUACCCGCAGAAGAAGCACCGGCUAACUCCGUGCCAGCAGCCGCGGUAAUACGGAGGGUGCAAGCGUUAAUCGGAAUUACUGGGCGUAAAGCGCACGCAGGCGGUCUGUCAAGUCGGAUGUGAAAUCCCCGGGCUCAACCUGGGAACUGCAUUCGAAACUGGCAGGCUAGAGUCUUGUAGAGGGGGGUAGAAUUCCAGGUGUAGCGGUGAAAUGCGUAGAGAUCUGGAGGAAUACCGGUGGCGAAGGCGGCCCCCUGGACAAAGACUGACGCUCAGGUGCGAAAGCGUGGGGAGCAAACAGGAUUAGAUACCCUGGUAGUCCACGCUGUAAACGAUGUCGAUUUGGAGGUUGUGCCCUUGAGGCGUGGCUUCCGGAGCUAACGCGUUAAAUCGACCGCCUGGGGAGUACGGCCGCAAGGUUAAAACUCAAAUGAAUUGACGGGGGCCCGCACAAGCGGUGGAGCAUGUGGUUUAAUUCGAUGCAACGCGAAGAACCUUACCUGGUCUUGACAUCCACAGAACUUUCCAGAGAUGGAUUGGUGCCUUCGGGAACUGUGAGACAGGUGCUGCAUGGCUGUCGUCAGCUCGUGUUGUGAAAUGUUGGGUUAAGUCCCGCAACGAGCGCAACCCUUAUCCUUUGUUGCCAGCGGUCCGGCCGGGAACUCAAAGGAGACUGCCAGUGAUA
rnacentral:rRNA from 1 species